UACGAAGGGGGCUAGCGUUGCUCGGAAUCACUGGGCGUAAAGGGUGCGUAGGCGGGUCUUUUAAGUCAGGGGUGAAAUCCUGGAGCUCAACUCCAGAACUGCCUUUGAUACUGGGUAUCUCGAGUAUGGAAGAGGUGAGUGGAAUUCCGAGUGUAGAGGUGAAAUUCGUAGAUAUUCGGAGGAAUACCAGUGGCGAAGGCGGCUCACUGGUCCAUUACUGACGCUGAGGCGCGACAGCGUGGGGAGCAAACAGG
rnacentral:rRNA from 1 species